CGAUACGCCCCUGCCGGUGUUCUUUCCUUGCAAGUAUUUGUGUUUUGUAGUAAGAGGAGUCAUUCCACUUAAUAUGGGAUCCUUUGAGCUCUCAGGAGAUUUACAUAAAUGAAGGAUGGUAUUUAAAAACUUUAAUUGCAUUGAUUCUUAUCUCAAAGACCACCUAAUCUAAAUACCAUCUGGCUCAGAAAACUAGAGGUAUGGAAAAUCAGAGAAGCAUUUUCUCUGGAGAAAUUUCUACCAGGUAUUUCUAUGGAGUAAUAGAGGCCAAUAAAUAUAUUUUAAAAGUUUGAUCCCACAUCAAUUAAAAGGCAAAUCAUAUACCCGAUGAUAUUUACAAAUAAUUAAUAACCACAAAUAUGAUGGUCAUCUAUUGAACACCUGUUAGGUUCCAGACUGUAUCAGAUGUGUUCAUCACUUUGUCUCAUUCAUUUACUCUUCACAGGAAGCCUGCAUGUGAGCAACAUUCUCCAACUGCCCCCCGCCCCACCAUACAGAGAUGAAAGCCAAGGCUCAAAAAAGUGAAGGAAUUUACCCAAGUACUGGACGAGCUGCGCUUGAAGAACCAUCUCUCUUCACCUGGCUGACUUCCAUAAGCCUUGGUAUCUCUACUUCCCAUCGAGUCCUCGGGAAGCCCCACAGUGCCCGCCGAUGCUGUUGCGCCCAGCCCUCCCUGCCGUGAUCGCCAGUGUGCACGGCUGAGAUUUAUAGAUGGAAAAGAGAAGGGCUAACGGAGGAAAACGCUGCCUUCUGAAGUGCAAAUUCCUCCUCCCACGCCAUCGGAAAUGAUACAAAUAACAUAAUUAAACAUAUUGAUCGCC